GAAAACAACAAUGCAGAACCAUUCGGGGCAGAGCCAGAUGAAUCAGGAGAGGAGGAUGGUGAAGAGAUCACGAUGGAGGCUGUUGAAGCCGGCCCCUUGCUGGAGCAGGAUGAUGGCCUGGAAUACCAACUGCCAAAGCACCAUCGCUGUGCCUGUCAUCUUCUGAACCUGGUGGCAACAGUUGAUGUCCAAGCAGUGAAUGAAGACCGGAUCUACAUAAAGCUCUCUCGCUCAUCGUUUGCAAAGUGCCAGGCUCUCUGGAACAAGAGCAGCAGAUCCACCUCAGCUACAGAGAUAAUUGAA